rnacentral:rRNA from 1 species
AAAUUGAAGAGUUUGAUCAUGGCUCAGAUUGAACGCUGGCGGCAGGCCUAACACAUGCAAGUCGAACGGUAACAGAAAGCAACUUGCUGCUUUGCUGACGAGUGGCGGACGGGUGAGUAAUGUCUGGGAAACUGCC